ensembl:lncRNA
UUUCUUGAGCUGUGUUACAUCCUGCUAGAUGGCGGUUUGGCUAAGGACCUGCUGAUUCUAGCACAGUUGGAUUUCUCAACUUGCUCUUACCACGGUAUUUCCUUGUCAACUGGGCUACUAUCUCCAGGAUUGCCUGCUUGCAUUGCUCAGGUGUUUCCAUGGCUAUGUGUGCAGUCACAGUACAUCCAUGAACCGCAGCCCUGUCAGGUAUGGUCUGAUGGGCAGCUUCCUCAACAAGUACAAGCAGAGUGGAAAGGUGAAGUCAAUGUGGUUGCCAUCCCUGCUCUGCAGGAGCACAACGCAGUGGUCACGGGAACAUUCAAUGUUGCCAGGUUCAAGGAACCUUUUAGGAAAACUGGUCAGAGAGAACCAUUUGGGUCACUGAGUUCUGCAGCCUGCAGGAAAUGUCUAGGUUGCAGAUCUGUGAGGCAUCUACUCUGCUUGACCUCCCCGCUCCCCACUCUCCAAAUGACAAAGCUUUCCCAGUCCUCUGUGGCAAGUGGGAUCAGCAGUGAGACACCCACAGUGACCACCACAUAUUGCACUGGGAGAAGGCAAAGGAUGAUGAGGGCUUUGACUUGCCAGCUUUGUAUUCUGCACAGCUGCCCUCUCUCUGCAGAGUCAAACCUCUGGUCUUGGUUCAGAGGUCUUGCAAAAGAGCAUGUAAACACAUGGUUUUGUGGAACCGUGCCAUUUCUCACCCCAAAUUCUGCUUACGAAGGUAGUUGAAUAUAUUUCCUCACUGCUCCUCAAGUGUUGGAAGGUAAAUAAGUUUAACAUAAUCUCUCAAACUUACAUCUAUGGCAUCAGUGCUUGAAUUUAAUAUCAGGAACUCAUGGGCACAGUGAAACUUUGUCCACCAGGGAGGCUAUGAAGAACAUAAGUUUUUUACAAAAUAAUUAAGUUGAAGGGCCAAGUUGCUUAUACCUUACCCUCUUAGAACCACAGAUGUUGAUAAACUUGAUGGUUCACUUGUACUUUGUUAUCAGUCAGACCUAUAUAUAAAACAAGGACCAAUGAAAAAUGAUAAAUAACUUAGAG